rnacentral:rRNA from 1 species
CCCUUAGAUGUUCUGGGCCGCACGCGCGCUACACUGAUGCAUUCAACGAGUCUAAAACCUGCUCUGAUAGGGGUGGGUAAUCUUUUGAAUGUGCAUCGUGAUUGGGAUAGAUGAUUGCAAUUUUUCAUCUUCAACGAGGAAUGCCUAGUAAACGCAAGUCAUCGGCUUGCAUUGAUUACGUCCCUGCCCUUUGUACACACCGCCCGUCGCUCCUACCGAUUGAAUGAUCCGAUGAAUAUCAUGGAUUGAGGAUGUAAGCAGGUUCGCCUGUCUUCAUCUUCGAGAAGUGAAGUAAAUCUUAUCAUUUAGAGGAAGGAGAAGUCGUAACA